CGUAGGGUGCGAGCGUUAAUCGGAAUUACUGGGCGUAAAGCGUGCGCAGGCGGUUUGUAAGACAGAUGUGAAAUCCCCGGGCUCAACCUGGGACCUGCAUUUGUGACUGCAAGGCUAGAGUACGGUAGAGGGGGAUGGAAUUCCGCGUGUAGCAGUGAAAUGCGUAGAUAUGCGGAGGAACACCGAUGGCGAAGGCAAUCCCCUGGACCUGUACUGACGCUCAUGCACGAAAGCGUGGGGGAGCAAACAGGAUUAGAUACCCUGGUAGUCCACGCCCUAAACGAUGUCAACUGGUUGUUGGGUCUUUACUGACUCAGUAACGAAGCUAACGCGUGAAGUUGACCGCCUGGGGGAGUACGGCCGCAAGGUUG
rnacentral:rRNA from 1 species